rnacentral:rRNA from 1 species
AUUGAACGCUGGCGGCAGGCCUAACACAUGCAAGUCGAGCGGAGCGGCGGACGGGUGAGUAAUGCCUAGGAAUCUGCCUGGUAGUGGGGGAUAACGUCCGGAAACGGGCGCUAAUACCGCAUACUAUCAGAUGAGCCUAGGUCGGAUUGGCUAGUGGGUGGGGAAAAGGCCUACCAAGGCGACGAUCCGUAACUGGUCUGAGUGGAUGAUCAGUCACACUGUAAAUGAGACACUGUCCAGACUCCGACGGGAGGCAGCAGUGGGGAAGAUUGCACAAUGGGCGCAAGCCUGAUGCAGCCAUGCGGCGUGUAUGAAGAAGGCCUUCGGGUUGUAAAGGACUUUCAGCGGGGAGGCGUUACCCGCAGAAGAAGCACCGGCUAACUCCGUGCCAGCAGCCGCGGUAAUUC